rnacentral:rRNA from 1 species
UACGUAGGGUGCGAGCGUUAAUCGGAAUUACUGGGCGUAAAGCGUGCGCAGGCGGCGCGUUAAGACAGGUGUGAAAGCCCCGAGCUUAACUUGGGAAUUGCGCUUGUGACUGGCGUGCUGGAGUGUGGCAGAGGGAGGUGGAAUUCCACGUGUAGCAGUGAAAUGCGUAGAUAUGUGGAGGAACACCGAUGGCGAAGGCAGCCCCCUGGGUUAACACUGACGCUCAUGCACGAAAGCGUGGGGAGCAAACAGG